UAUGUGAUCGUCUCUCGCAUAUCAAUAAGCGGAGGAAAAGAAACUAACAAGGAUUCCCCUAGUAACGGCGAGUGAAGCGGGAAGAGCUCAAAUUUGAAAUCUUAAAGGGUUUCCCUUUACGAAUUGUAGUUUAAAGAAGUGUUUUCUGUUGAGGUUUUGGUAAAAGUUCUUUGGAAUAGGACAUCAUAGAGGGUGAGAAUCCCGUAUUUGACCUUUACUUUCAACUUUGUGAUACACUUUCAAAGAGUCGGAUUGUUUGGGAAUGCAGUCCAAAAUGGGUGGUAAAUUUCAUCUAAAGCUAAAUAUUGGCGAGAGACCGAUAGCGAACAAGUACCGUGAGGGAAAGAUGAAAAGAACUUUGAAAAGAGAGUUAAACAGUACGUGAAAUUGUCAAAAGGGAAGCGUUUGACACCAGUGUUGUUUUUCUGAAAAUCAAUUAAAGAACUGUUUAUGCUAAGCUUGCUUAGACUUUAUCAGCUAUCUGUUUAGUUUUGAGCUUUUCUUUAAUGCACUUUUCAGUUAACAAGUCAACAUCAAUUUCUUUUGCUGUAAAAAAGCUUGAGGAAGGUGGCUUGAGAUUCGUCUUAAGUGUUUAUAGCCUCUUGCCUAUGCAGUCGGAGAGAUUGAGGUCUGCAGCGUAGAUCCUUCGGGGCUAAAUGCAUUUGUGCUAAGUUAUAGCAUUUUAUAGACAACUUGUUGACUAUGAUUUGUCUUGUAGCUUACUCGCUUAUGUUAUUUUACCUACGCUUAGGAUGUUGAGCGCAUGUCUCUCUCU
rnacentral:rRNA from 1 species